rnacentral:pre_miRNA from 1 species
UGCUGCUACUGUUGAUGCUGCUGCUGCUGCUGCUGCUGCUGUUGCUGCAUAGCAGCAACAGCAGCAGCAGCAGCAGCAUCAGCAGCAGCAAAU